UACCAGCACCCCGAGUGGUCGGGACGAUUAUUGGGCCUAAAGCGUCCGUAGCCGGUCCUACAAGUCUUCCGUUAAAUCCACCUGCUCAACAGAUGGGCUGCGGAAGAUACUAUAGGGCUAGGAGGCGGGAGAGGCAAGCGGUACUCAGUGGGUAGGGGUAAAAUCCUCUGAUCCAUUGAAGACCACCAGUGGCGAAGGCGGCUUGCCGGAACGCGCUCGACGGUGAGGGAUGAAAGCUGGGGGAGCAAACCGG
rnacentral:rRNA from 1 species